rnacentral:lncRNA from 1 species
AAAUGGUUCCAAAUGUCACGGGGGAAGAGGGAUGCUGUUUAUUGCACAUCCUCAAGACGCGUCCAGACGUACAGCAAUUACAUCUUAGAAUAAUUAAGGAGGAGGCAUGAGCCUCUGGAGAGAAGUUAAAGUCUGAGACAGAACAGGAAGUGUGGAAAAGACCAUGGGUACUCGGGAGAGGUGGUGCUGUCUAUCAGAGGGAAGGGAGCUCCCGCAGUAAGUGAUGCGGGUUCGCUUGGUGCUUAGGAUGGGGUCGACUCUUGGUGAUGCGGCAGGCAGGGCUGCAGCUGCCUCGUUCCUGCUAUCGUUAGUGGCUAGAGUUGGGUUACCUCCUGAAUUCCAUGCCUGGAAGGCCGGGCUGGAGCACUAUACCACCCUCCAGAGAGCCUGGCUCAGAGUUACAGGGAAGGGGACACACACACAUCUGCAGUUACUUUUGUCAACACAGGGUCCGUCUUCACGGCACAAGAGAGAAUGAAGCUGAUACUAGACUUCCCACCUCGAACCUCAUCCUCACAGCAAACUGCUAAGGAUUAACUGCAGAGGUCAACAUGAGGAAAUCAAGUUUCAGAGAGGCCGGACUUCAAGCCCACACAUUAUACAAGAACAUCUGGGCUCAGAAGCCAGAGCGACUUCUCAGAGACUGGCCACUGCCAGCUACCACCUUCUCAGGCUGAUUCCCACUUACAAGAUUUGCUAAGUCACCACCCACGCUCCAGGACACAAGCCUCGGGAUCCCUGAAUGGCGCGAGCACAGACUUUCCACUUCCUCAAGUCAUGUGAUUCACUUAAUGCUAAGGCUGUAAUCAGCAGCCCGCCUGCACGGGACAGCUCGUGGUGACCAAACAUGAGGUACAUUUUAGUAGCAACCCUGGGGCUCAGACUCUAACUCUGGCUGCUGGUCCUGGGGCUCCCGUUCUUUGCUUGUUCUUCUAGGAGUCAGACCGGCCUCACCUGCCUCAGUAGCACACUCUAGGGCUCCAUUAGUACUUGCCUCUCACCCAGAGGGUGCUCUGCUGCCUUAGCCAGAGCAGAGGUUACGUUACACGUUGAGAUGGCUGCCUUUUUAUCUCUUUGGCUAUCUCACGGCAGCAGAAAGCCGAGCAGGCAGGCACAGAGCAAUGUGGGGGUCCGGCAAGCUUGGCAGGCGUGUUACCCACACCCGUGCUGUGGGAGUCAGGCAAGCAGAUACUCACCACCUGACCAUCAGUCCGUGCUCCAUGAAGUUUUUCAGGUUAGGAAGAGUUUGCCUCAAGUCUGGAGUCCCCAGGCCAUGCUGGUAUCUCAGCUGCAACGAAAGAACGGAAUUGAAAGAUGUUUUGGCAGAUGCUAGGCAAUGCUCAGGACGGUGAACUCCUGAACGAGCAAACAUUUAAGUGUACAAAGGCCACACCAACUACAGCCGAGGCACAGCAUUUAAUGGCUCUUCUUUACCAUCACCUUACACCUUGAACUUGAAAACAAUAUGGCCAACCUUAGGCCUUCACCUACUCUUUUCCACUCCCAGAUCUUGGUAAGUGUUUCUAACACCAUAGACAUAACUCAUAGGAAAUCUUCUAUUUAAAUCAGAAAAAGAUUAAUUUAUUCUUAUUGUAUGUGUAUGACUAUAUUGCCUGCACAUAUAUAGGUGUGCCAUGCGUGGCCUGGGCCCACAGAAGCCAGAAGAAGGGUAUAGGAACUUUUGGAACUGCAGUUAGAGGGGGUUGUGAGCCACCAUGUGGGUGCUGGAAACUGAACCUGGGUCCUUGGCAAGAGCAGUAAGUACUCUUAACCAGAGAACCACCUUCCCACCCCUCUUACUUUUAAUUUUGUGUAAAGUGGUAUUUCUGUGUAUGUUUGCAUAAGUGUAGUUGGGAGAGGAUUUGGGUCCCUAGGAGCCACCCUACAUGGGUGCUGAGACUCACACCCUGGUCUUUGCAAGAGCACUGCUACUCCUGAGCACUGAACCAUUUUCUCUCCAGUCCCUCAAAAAAAAAAUCAAAUGACAGGUAUUAGUGUCGCUGUUGACGGGAGCCGCACUCUAGGUUUCUCUACAACGCUCACUGUGUUUUGUGUGUGAGCGUGAGCGAGGGGGGGGGCUCUUGAGGUUUUAUUGCUAGCAGCACAAAAAUAAAAGAAAGAAAAAGUGAAUUUAAGAGUUAGGUAAAACUUUACCAAAAGAUUAAUUUAAUCCAUGAUCAUCCAGCACUCAGUUGAUUUUCUGAGUAAUACUUAAAACAGUUUACUCUCUAGAACUGAGACUCUAAAGGAGACUCCUGUAACACAAGUGAGCGUCUAGGAUGUUCUGAGUGAAUACAUCCAUCAAAUAAGAAGGCAGAAACAUGCUGUUAGAACUAGAAGGUGCCCUGGCAAGGACUGAAGCCAGUGGGAAAUUCCCCAGGACUCAUCGGUGCACACAGAACCAGCGAGAGCCUGCUUUCCACAAGCUGUUCCUUCUAUUGUAUCCACUCCACUGACUGAAGAGAAAAUUGGUAACAGCACUCGGGAGGUCAGGGGAAAAAAUUCUCUUCCCUUCAAACCUAGCUUGGUGACCUAAAUCACCUCCUGAGAUUUGCUAGCCUUGAAUUAUAAGAUCUACUCCAUAUUAAAUGACAUCAUUCUUUGUAUUAAUAUAAAAGCAUUUUUUUCCAUACAUUGAUAAAAGCAAAAUGGCUGAUAUCCCAAAAUGACAUUCCUGGAUUCAUUGUUUCAAUAAGAAGUGAAAUUGUUUACACAUGGCAUGAAAAUUUCACCUGUGAUUCAUACUGAAAAAUAUUAAAU